rnacentral:rRNA from 1 species
UACGUAGGGUGCAAGCGUUAUCCGGAUUCACUGGGUUUAAAGGGAGCGUAGGUGGGUUGGUAAGUCAGUGGUGAAACCUCCGAGCUUAACUUGGAAACUGCCAUUGAUACUAUCAGUCUUGAAUAUUGUGGAGGUCAGCGGAAUAUGUCAUGUAGCGGUGAAAUGCUUAGAUAUGACAUAGAACACCAAUUGCGAAGGCAGCUGGCUACACGAAUAUUGACACUCAGGCACGAAAGCGUGGGGAUCAAACAGG